rnacentral:rRNA from 1 species
AUUGAACGCUGGCGGAAUGCUUUACACAUGCAAGUCGAGCGGCAGCGCGGGGCAACCUGGCGGCGAGCGGCGAACGGGUGAGUAACAUAUCGGAACGUACCCAUUGGUGGGGGAUAACACAUCGAAAGAUGUGCUAAUACCGCAUACGACCUGAGGGUGAAAGGGGGGGAUCGCAAGACCUCUCGCCGUUGGAGCGGCCGAUAUCGGAUUAGCUAGUUGGUGGGGUACAGGCCUACCAAGGCGACGAUCAGUAGCUGGUCUGAGAGGACGAUCAGCCCAACUGGGAGUGAGACACGGCCCAGACUCCUGCGGGAGGCAGCAGUGGGGAAUCUUGGACAAUGGACGAAAGCCUGAUUCAGCAAUGCCGCGUGUGUGAAGAAGGCCUUCGGGUUGUAAAGCACUUUUGUCCGGAAAGAAAUGGCUCUGGUUAAUACCUGGGGUCGAUGACGGUACCGGAAGAAUAAGGACCGGCUAACUACGUGCCAGCCGCCGCGGUAA